rnacentral:lncRNA from 1 species
GGAGACAAGGGGCUGCCUGGUUCAUCUGGUGAAAAGGGGAGUCCUGGAAGAAGGGGUGACAAAGGACCCAAAGGAGACAAAGGCGAGAGAGGAGAUGUGGGGAUUCGAGGUGACCCGGGUGACUCAGGACGGGACAGCCAGCAGAGAGGACCCAAAGGAGAGACGGGCGACAUUGGCCCCAUGGGUCUCCCAGGCAGAGACGGUAUCCCCGGCAGUCCAGGAGACCCUGGGAAAGACGGUGGCUUUGGCCGAAGGGGGCCUGCAGGAGCUAAGGGCAACAGAGGCGGUCCUGGCCAGCCAGGCUUUGAAGGAGAGCAGGGUACCAGAGGUUCACAGG